AUUCGGUUUCUUGGUUCACCAACUUCAAUCGCAAUAUCUGAAGAAAUCGAUGAUCGUGAACGAAUCCCUGAUUUCUCACCAAAAGAAGAAUGUCUCUGGAGGAGAUCCAAACACAUCCCAUYCAACCGAAUAUUAUUCAAUCAUCCAACUGAAAGAAACUAUUAUUGGAUCUCCCAAUACUUAUUCUCUCUUUUUCCAGGUGCAAGUGGAGAAUUUGAACAUAAUUACCUUCCAUUCUUUAUAUCUCGAUACCAUUUU